ACCUCAAAUCAGGUAGGGAUACCCGCUGAACUUA
rnacentral:rRNA from 1 species